ACGCUGGCUACAGGCUUAACACAUGCAAGUCGAGGGGAAACGGCGUUGAGUGCUCGCACUCUUCGGACGUCGACCGGCGCACGGGUGAGUAACGCGUAUCCAACCUUCCCGUCACUGCGGGAUAACCUGCCGAAAGGCAGACUAAUACCGCAUGGCCUUCACUGACGGCAUCAGAGGUGAAGUAAAGCUUUUUAGCGGUGACGGACGGGGAUGCGUCUGAUUAGCUGGUUGGCGGGGCGACGGCCCACCAAGGCGACGAUCAGUAGGGGUUCUGAGAGGAAGGUCCCCCACAUUGGAACUGAGACACGGUCCAAACUCCUACGGGAGGCAGCAGUGAGGAAUAUUGGUCAAUGGGCGGAAGCCUGAACCAGCCAAGUAGCGUGCAGGAGGACGGCCCUACGGGUUGUAAACUGCUUUUAUGCGGGGAUAAAGUGAGGGACGCGUCCCUUUUUGCAGGUACCGCAUGAAUAAGGACCGGCUAAUUCCGUGCCAGCAGCCGCGGUAAUACGGAAGGUCCGGGCGUUAUCCGGAUUUAUUGGGUUUAAAGGGAGCGUAGGCCGGGGAUUAAGUGUGUUGUGAAAUGUAGGCGCUCAACGUCUGAUGUGCAGCGCAUACUGGUCCCCUUGAGUACGCGCAACGCCGGCGGAAUUCGUCGUGUAGCGGUGAAAUGCUUAGAUAUGACGAAGAACCCCGAUUGCGAAGGCAGCCGGCGGGAGCGCAACUGACGCUGAAGCUCGAAGGUGCGGGUAUCGAACAGGAUUAGAUACCCUGGUAGUCCGCACGGUAAACGAUGGAUGCCCGCUCUCGGCGCCUGGCGCCGGGGGCCAAGCGAAAGCGUUAAGCAUCCCACCUGGGGAGUACGCCGGCAACGGUGAAACUCAAAGGAAUUGACGGGGGCCCGCACAAGCGG
rnacentral:rRNA from 1 species